AACGAACGCUGGCGGCGUGGAUAAGACAUGCAAGUCGAGCGCUGAUUAGCGGGUAGCAAUACUCGUUAGUCGGAGCGGCGAAAGGGUGCGUAACACGUGGGUAAUCUGCCGUGAAGUCCGGAAUAACUCGCUGAAAGGCGAGCUAAUGCGGGAUGUGACAAUUGGGAGGCAUCUUCUGGUUGUUAAAGUUGGGGAUCGUAAGACCUGACGCUUCAUGAUGAACCCGCGGCCUAUCAGCUAGUUGGUGAGGUAACGGCUCACCAAGGCUAAGACGGGUAGCUGGUCUGAGAGGACGACCAGCCACACUGGAACUGAGACACGGUCCAGACACCUACGGGAGGCUG
rnacentral:rRNA from 1 species